UACGUAGGGAGCAAGCGUUGUCCGGAAUCAUUGGGCGUAAAGCGCGCGUAGGUGGCCUCAUAAGUCCGCUGUGAAAGUCCAAGGCUCAACCUUGGAAAGCCGGUGGAUACUGUGAGGCUAGAGUACGGAAGAGGCGAGUGGAAUUCCUGGUGUAGCGGUGGAAUGCGCAGAUAUCAGGAGGAACACCAAUAGCGAAGGCAGCUCGCUGGGACGUUACUGACACUGAGGCGCGAAAGCGUGGGGAGCGAACAGG
rnacentral:rRNA from 1 species